rnacentral:lncRNA from 1 species
AUCAGGCUGUAGCUAGAGCUUAAACUCCCUAUAUGAUUGGUUGAAGUUUCAAUCCCUUAGCUUGCAGCUAUGACUCAUUUGGGCUUAGGGGAAAGUCCACUUUGAUUGGUUGAAGUUUCAAUCCCUUAGCUUGCAGCUAUGACCCAUUUCGGCUUAGGGGAAAGUCCCCUUAGGGAAGUCCCUAUUGACCCAGGAAGUCCAGCCAACUUAGCCACUUAGUCCCUCAGCCCUGGCUUGUGGAAGCAGAGAUUCCUAAUACGGCCCUCACUUCUCCACUUUCUCCACUGGGGUUGGAAGCAGUAGGAGUAGCUAUAGAGGAUGUAUUAACACCAAUUUACAGAGAUCCUAUUGAAUUUACAUCUCUCCAGCAGGUGUGAUGCAAGGAAAACAAAGCUAAUACCCAAAGUCUUUGGACAUUUUUCUUGUCUGUAUGAUCAAAGUUGGGUCCUGGACACAACCAUAUAAUAUCUUGCAGAGCGUGGAAAGAGAGAAAGUCCACUUUAAGCGAUGGAAAAUCAGCCCCAAUUCUGAAGGAACAACCAUGAACAGAUGAUUUAAGGAGAAUCAAUUCUUUGCUCUUUGCAGAAGGAGCCAACAGAGUGAGAUGAAGGGGACAACUUCAGAUACUCAGGCAGAAGUGAACUUGGCUCCAUGCAUUGAUGGAGAAGAAAGACACCCGAGGGCUCCAUUCUGCAGGAUGAGUCUGCAGGGAUCUCCUUGCCAGCUAUGGAAGUCAGUAUGACAGCUUCAGCUACCUACAGUCCACUUGCCAGGAAAAAAGCAGAGUUCUCUAUGACCAUGUUGGAGAAGCACCGAACCCAACUUUAGAUGGUCAGGGAAGAAUUCUCCUAAGAAACAACACUGAAACUGAGACUUAAGAAUGCAUAGAAAUUGUCUAGACAAAAAGAGUAAUGGCAAAGACUGUUCCAAGCAAAUGGAAUGUGGACAACUGCAGAGGCAACACAUAAGUCCCCACCUGCUGACCUGCUGCCUGCUAUCUUAACACGAAUUCUUCAUCUGAAUGGAUGAGCUUUUCACAGAGUUCCAAACUAAGGAAUCCAGGAGUGGCCAAUCCAGAGAUUCAUUCCUUAUCUUUGACGAACAUCUGAACUCCUGGCUCAUCCUGUGGAAUUCAGGCCAUACAGGAGAUCAAGGUCAUUUGCUUUGGGUUAAAUGAAUGUUGCCAGGUGGAGGUUGCUAGAGGGAGAGUGCUAUGUGAAAGUGCUGUAUAAACUGCUUGCUUUUCACAAACAGUAGUGAUUCUUUAUCCUGUCCAGCCUGCCACAACUGGACCAUCCUGUAUGUAAGUCCCCUUAAUAAAUCCUGUGUCUCAUUCA